ACGAACGCUGGCGGCGCGCUUAACACAUGCAAGUCGAACGGUGAAGCGGGCUUCGGCCCGUGGAUCAGUGGCGAACGGGUGCGUAACACGUGGGCAACCUGCCCCUCACUCUGGGAUAACUCCGGGAAACCGGGGCUAAUACCGGAUACUCCGACCGAUCCGCAUGCUUCGGUCGGGAAAGGUCCGCCGGUGAGGGAUGGGCCCGCGGCCUAUCAGCUUGUUGGUGAGGUAACGGCUCACCAAGGCUUCGACGGGUAGCUGGUCUGAGAGGACGGCCAGCCACACUGGGACUGAGAUACGGCCCAGACUCCUACGGGAGGCAGCAGUGGGGAAUCUUGCGCAAUGGGCGAAAGCCUGACGCAGCGACGCCGCGUGGGGGAUGAAGGCCCUCGGGUUGUAAACCUCUUUCGGCGGGGACGAAGCUAACGUGACGGUACCCGCAGAAGAAGCCCCGGCUAACUACGU
rnacentral:rRNA from 1 species